CACCUAUCUAGAAAAUUCAAGACUAACAAAACGAAAUUACAAGAGAAAGAAAAAAGAGAAGAGAAAAGAAAUUAAGGUAGAAAGAAGGAAUGAGCUACGAUUUUGGAAGGAGAAAAAGCCCAAAACGUUACCAAACAGUCCCUAAGUUUCAGCUGCGCUAAAGGAAAUUCCGAGGCAAGUUUUGGCGAGUUUUGGUGAAUUUCGGGAAAGGUUCAAGAGACGACGAGGCGAGCAUAGUUAAGAGUAAUCCGUAAGAGGUACAGAUGAUUGGUUUGCUGAUCCACUCGCUUAGGACAUCCACCAUGUUGGUCGACAGUGCUCCUUUGUUCGGAGCCCUAUUUUGGUACUGACACUUUCUGUUGUAUAUAUAUAUAGAGAGAGGUUUGUAGACAUGAUAUAUGGGUUUUGUAUAUAUGUUUUGGGUUUUGUGUGUUUCGUUAUGGCCUAUCGGCCCUCGUGCGUUAUAUCUAUUUUUGUGAUCUGUUUAGAGAUCCCUUCUGAUCAUUACCUAUGUUUAGUCGAUUAAGGUACUAAGUGGGGCUAAAAGUAUGUAUGGGUGCCCAACUAGGGCACCAUUCACGGCCUACGGAGUUGGGUCGUGACAGAAGUGGUAUUCAGAAGCUAUGAUACUUGUAGAUGGUCCUUUUGGGACAUCAAUUUGGAUAGGUACAUUCACUGCAGGGAUAUGUGGCUUAGUUAUCUGUUUCAAAUCAGUAAAUGCAUCUGACAUUUGAUUUGCACUUUUCUCUAAGUGGAUGAUCUUCUGGACCUCCUGCUCACAUGUGCGGGUGCGUGGAUCAAAAUGUGAGAGUGAUGAAACUUUCCACGCAAUUUCUUUUUCUUUUUCGGGUUUCUUUUUCUCUCUCCCUAAUGGCGGAAAAAUUGUUUCAUCAAACCGACAAUCUGCAAAUCGAGCAGUGAAUAAAUCUCCAGUCAACGGUUCAAGGUAUCGAAUUAUGGAGGGUGAGUCAAACCCAAUAUUUAUGCCCAACCUUCGUUGAUGGACCAUUUUUGUACGUUGUGGUGGUGCUACAGGCACGUAUACCGCACAACCAAAAAUUCUUAAAUGGGCUAUAUUUGGUUCAUGACCAAAUACUAAUUGUGACGGAGAAUAUUUAUUAUGAUGUGUCGGUCUGAGACGUACAAGUGCUGCUGCAUGUAAGAUAGCAUGACCCCAGACAGUAAUUGACAAUUUUAUUUUCAUUAGUAAAGGUCUUGCUAUCAAUUGUAGGCGCUUUAUAAGCAAUAAUCAUUAAAAGCCUGAGAUGUAAAUUCUCCAGCAUUAUCAAGGCGAAUGGCCUUAAUUGGAUAAUCUGGGAAUUGCGCCCUUAAUCUUAUUAUUUGUGCUAACAACUUUGCAAACGCCAGAUUUCGAGAUGAUAAUAAGCACAAAUGAGACUAUCUAGAUGAUGCAUCUAUUAGGACCAUAAAAUAUCUAAACAAUCCACUAGGUGGAUGAAUAGGUCCACAUAUAUCUCCAUGUAUACGCUCUAAAAAGGCAGGAGAUUCGAUGCCAACCUUCAAGGACGAUGUUCUGACAAUUAAUUUGCCUUGAUAACAAGCAGCACAUGAAAAUUCAUCAUUUGUAAGAAUCUUCUGGUUCUUUAACGGAUGUUCAAUUGAAUUUUCAAGAAUUCGUCUCAUCAUUAUUGAUCCAGGAUGACCUAUUCGAUCAUGC